rnacentral:rRNA from 1 species
UACGAAGGGGGGCUAGCGUUGUUCGGAAUUACUGGGCGUAAAGCGCGCGCAGGCGGCUAUCCAAGUCAGUGGUGAAAGCCCGGAGCUCAACUCCCGGAACUGCCCAUUGAAACUGUUUAGCUUGAGGACGAGAGAGGUGAGUGGAAAUUCCCCAGUGUAGAGGUGAAAUUCGUAGAUAUUGGGAAGAACACCCGGUGGCGAAGGCGGCUCACUGGCUCGUAUCUGACGCUCAGGCGCGACAGCGUGGGGAUCAAACAGG